UUAAGGCGGCCACAGCGGCGGGGCGACUCCCGUACCCAUCCCGAACACGGCAGAUAAGCCCGCCAGCGUUCCAGCGAGUACUGGAGUGUGCGAACCUCUGGGAAAACUGCCUCGCAAGAGGGGCCAAGUGUGAGCCCAGGAGCGCAAUCGGUAGUACACGCAGGGUCCGUCCCGGUGGAACCCGAGACCGCUCCGUUACAACGGCUCAUAACUAGUGGUUCGCCGCCU
rnacentral:rRNA from 1 species